rnacentral:sRNA from 1 species
UAGUAACUUACACCCUAAUGCCCAAAUG